rnacentral:misc_RNA from 1 species
UUUCCGUAGGUGAACCUGCGGAAGGAUCAUUAUUGAAUAACCGAGGUGCGAGGGCUGUCGCUGACCCGAAAGGUCGUGCACGCCCGGGCGCCCUCACACACAUCCAUCUCACCCCUAUGUGCACCACCGCGUGGGUCCCCCUUUGGCUUGUUCGGAGGGGGGCUUACGUUUUCACACAAACUUUGUAUGCAGUGUAGAAUGUAUUUUUUGUUUUUGCGAUCACGCAAUCAAUACAACUUUCAACAACGGAUCUCUUGGCUCUC